rnacentral:rRNA from 1 species
CUGGAGACAGGUGCUGCAUGGCUGUCGUCAGCUCGUGUCGUGAGAUGUUGGGUUAAGUCCCGCAACGAGCGCAACCCUUGCCUUUAGUUGCCAGCAGUUCGGCUGGGCACUCUAAAGGGACUGCCGGUGUUAAACCGGAGGAAGUGGGGAUGACGUCAAGUCCUCAUGGCCUUUAUGACCAGGGCUACACACGUACUACAAUGGCCGAUACAAAGGGCAGCGACACUGCGAGGUGAAGCCAAUCCCGUAAAAAUCGGUCUCAGUCCGGAUUGGAGUCUGCAACUCGACUCCAUGAAGUUGGAAUCGCUAGUAAUCGUGGAUCAGCAUGCCACGGUGAAUACGUUCCCGGGCCUU